ACAUAGUGUAGUGGAUGGCACGCUAGGUUCUAGACUUGGGUGCCUGGGAUCAAAUCCCAGUGUG
rnacentral:tRNA from 16 species